rnacentral:tRNA from 1 species
AGCCCCGUAGUGCAGCGGCCCAGCACGACUGGCUUUGGAAACCAAACGGCCAAGGCGCCGCGUGUUAAGGAAACCAGUAAACCGCGGUUCGAAUCCGCGCGGGGCUA